rnacentral:rRNA from 1 species
AUUGAACGCUGGCGGCAUGCUUUACACAUGCAAGUCGAACGGCAGCGCGGGCUUCGCCCUGGCGGCGAGUGGCGAACGGGUGAGUAAUGCAUCGGAACGUGCCCAGUAGUGGGGGAUAGCCCGGCGAAAGCCGGAUUAAUACCGCAUACGACCUGAGGGUGAAAGCGGGGGACCGAAAGGCCUCGCGCUAUUGGAGCGGCCGAUGUCGGAUUAGCUAGUUGGUGGGGUAAAGGCUUACCAAGGCGACGAUCCGUAGCUGGUCUGAGAGGACGACCAGCCACACUGGGACUGAGACACGGCCCAGACUCCUACGGGAGGCAGCAGUGGGGAAUUUUGGACAAUGGGGGCAACCCUGAUCCAGCCAUGCCGCGUGCGGGAAGAAGGCCUUCGGGUUGUAAACCGCUUUUGUUCGGGAAGAAAUCCUCUGGGCUAAUACCCCGGGGGGAUGACGGUACCGGAAGAAUAAGCACCGGCUAACUACGUG